CUAUAAGAUGUGUGGACUUCAACUCCCAGAAUUCCCCAGCGAGCAUGCUAGAACUUUCUAGGAUACAAUUGUACUAGGUAAUACAACUGCCUAUAUUGAAAAAUUAUCAAUUAUUUGUCUAUAUUUUAGGCAAACUAAGAUUGAAAUGUCCUUUUAGGGUUUUGUUCAUGCUAAGUUUCUGUGCCAUUUCAAAAUAGCUAUGCUUUUCAUUGUAUUUAUACUCAACCAAAUAAGGAGUCCAUCCAUCAUUUCCUAUUAUAUUGUUAUUGUUUUUCCAGGAAAUACCGCAGUUUGGAGGUCUACUUCCAGAUACUUGCAGCAUUAAAAUGGCUUCUGCUGUAAUUAGUUCAGUCCCUACUACUGCAUCUAGAUUUGCUCUAUUGCAAGUUGAUAGUGGCAGUGGCUCUGAUUCAGAAUCUGGAAAGGGAAGAAGUAGUCAGAGUGGUGGAAAGACCCAAACUACAGGCAACAAGUCAACCACAAAUGAAAAGAAAAAGGAAAAGAGGAGGAAAAAGAAGGAGCAGCAGCAGAGUGAAGCAAAUGAGCUCAGAAAUCUUGCUUUUAAAAAACUUCCUCCAAAAGCCUCCCAUGGAACCUGCUUAUCUCUGCAGGAGCAAGCUUUCAGCCACACACACAGGAAAGACUCCCAGGAAGAGAAUUGGCAACAGUGGAGACAAAGAGAUGAGCAGCUGACCUCUGAAAUGUUUGAAGCAGACCUUGAAAAAGCUUUACUUUUAAGCAAACUGGAAUAUGAAGAACACAGAAAGGAAUAUGAACAUGUUGAAAAUGCGUCUCUUCCAUCAAAGGUUAUACACAAAAGAGAGAAACGAAAAAAUCAGCAGGGAAAAGACAAACCUCUCACAGUAUCUUUAAAAGAUUUUCAGUCUGAUAUUAACAUAGAUCAUUUUCCCAAAAAGCAAGAGGAAUUGAACUCACCACAUACUCUCUUGAAUGACGGUGAAUUCUUCAAUAGACUGGAAGAUGAUAUGCAUAAAAUACUAAAUAAAGAAAAAAGAAGGGAGCCUAACACAGAAUAUGGAAUAGAUAACAGUACAUUUUGUGACCGCACACAGGAGGUUUUUCUAAAAGAUGGAAGACUAGAGAGAUCAAAAUUGGAACUUGAAAAGAAAGAUGCAGAAAUCCAGCAAUUGAAGAGUGUAAUCAGUCAGUGGGAGGCAAAAUACAAGGAAGUAAAAGCACGAAAUGCACAACUAUUGAAAAUGCUGCAAGAAGGUGAAAUGAAAGAUAAAGCUGAAAUACUCCUUCAGGUUGAUGAGUCUCAGAGUAUUAAGAAUGAGUUAACUUUACAGGUUGCUACUCUUCAUGCUGCAUUGGAACAAGAAAGAUCUAAAGUGAAAAUACUGCAAGCAGAAUUAACAAAAUACCAGGAGCUCAAGGCAGCACUCCCUCCUCCAACUUUUUCCCUCAACAACCUUGCAAGAUUGCUUGGACUGAUAAAGAGUGACUGGUCCAUAGUCAGCCAGUAAAUUCCAUGACUGGGGGAAAAUUUGAAGUAGAAACUCCCCAGUCCUAGUCCAACAUGUUAACCACCUUACCACACUGACUCUCCAAAUAAAAGGGUGGAAGAAAAGGGAAAAGAAACUCAGAAUCUGACCAGUGCAGAUGAUUUUCUUUGCACUAAAUUCAGAGCCAAAAAGAGGAAUAUUGAUCUUCAGGGUUUUGCAGAAAUGUAUAUUUGUAUUACUGCUUAACUAUGCAGGUUUUUUGGGGUGGGAGUAGUGAUUGAAAUUUAAUUGACUAACAGUUAAGUCAAUCUAUUGCUAUUCUGGUUUAAAGUUGGAAAUGAAAACAUUGAUGCUCUAACUUUGUGCUAACGCUGCAUCUAGUUUUUCAUCAGUCAAUAAAAUUUGUCAUUUUUAUGACUAGUGUGUAAUUUCAUUGAUAAAUAAACGAUAGUUAAUGGCUCUCCUUUCAUGAUAGUUUUUACCUUUUGAUACUUUCAUUAUUUUUAUCUUUUUUGUGAUUUUUUUUUUUUUUUUUACAGAUGGUCAUUCACAAAUAGUAAAUGUUUGGCUAGUCUAAGAGGGAAGAUAAAAGGAAGAAAGGAAUGUAGUGAUACUGUGAAAUAGCCCCUCCCCAAAGUCUCAGAACGUGAGGUUUGCAAAAAGAAUUCUGGUCAAUCAGCUUUGAAGGCAAAAUGAUAAACUCUUUAGCAUAACACAUAUAUUUUUCAGAUCUUAAUGUAAACAAGAUUCUAUAUAAUUUUCCUCAUCCUUUCACCAUUCAAUUAUGUAAUAGUUG